GAAAGUCGUAACAAGGUUUCCGUAGGUGAACCUGCGGAAGGAUCAUUA
rnacentral:rRNA from 1 species